rnacentral:lncRNA from 1 species
CAAGGUCUGCGUACAUACUACCCUCCCCAGACCCCACUAAGUGGGAUUAUACUGGGUUGACGUUGUUGUUUAACCCUUAUAUAUAGUGUAAUUUCGGCAAAGAGAGUUCGGCUGAACCCCUUCUCCCCAACUAGCUCCGCCACUGCCUAAGUCCAUGCCUAACAAAGGAAAUUAAAGUAAUUAAGGUGGUAAGGUUUCACGGUACAACAUGUGAGACCCGUUCCGUACACUUCGCUUUCUCCGGAAACUCUGAAAAACAGAACCACAUCUUUGGUAAUCUUUGCUGUUAAGAUAGAAGUCAUAUCUGAAAGAGAAAAGAAUGAGCAAAUAGUAUUAUUAGACUUGAAAGACAAGAAAGAAGGACUUCGCCAACAUGCAUGUGCAUUAAUACGAGAAUGAUGGGACUAAUUAAAGAAUGUAAAGUCAAAGCAAAGGCAUGUGAGUUUGCGCACAAAUUCAAGGCAAAAUGUAUAUUUUAUGUCGCAAGUGAGAUGCUAAUCUUAUGUUUCAUAAUAGAAUUGAGAUGAAAUAUGAACAAUUCACGGCUUAUCUGUUGGGAAAACAAUGUGGACUUUGAGGGGAAGGUGACGAACGUUUGAAUAAUUGAAUGAGGUUCUCAGCUGAUAGGGAGAAUUCAAUUUCAAUAUAGAAAACAAAUUGUUUUUCUCGCAGCCACCUCACGCCCACUUGUAGUGAUUGCAUGUGAAGUGGUUGCAUUAAACAAAACUGAGGUCCUAUUUAAGUAGCAGCAACUUUUCUUGGUAAACCCAUCAAUUUAUUUGAACUCAUCCCAAUUCCAUUUGCUCAAUCUUAUUUCUUCUUCCGCUACUUUGCAUCUAAAAAGGAAAUGGCCAAAUUUGGCAUUCUUGCAUUGGGUUUCAUAAUUGGUUUCUUUAGCCUUUUCUUCAAUGCAAAUGCUUUCAAAGCUUCUGGAUGGAUGAGAGCUCAUGCCACCUUUUAUGGUGGUGCUGAUGCUUCUGGCACAAUGGGUAAGUACCAAUAUUUUCCAAACAAACUACUCAACCUUUAUCAUGAUAUCAACUACUUAUAUUAAACUCCAAACUAGUUCAGGUAGAGUAUAUGAAUAUAGUUUGACUAUUUUUAUGUCAACGUGCGACAGGGGGUGCUUGUGGAUACGGCAACUUGUAUUCGACAGGGUAUGGAACUAGAAGUGCAGCAUUGAGCACUGCUCUGUUCAACAGUGGAGGAUCUUGUGGGCAAUGCUACAAGAUCAUCUGUGAUUACAAAGCAGAACCGCGAUGGUGCAAGAAGGGAGUAUCUGUUACCAUCACUGCUACAAACUUUUGCCCACCAAAUUAUGCCCUUCCUAGCGACAAUGGAGGCUGGUGUAACCCCCCUCGUCAACAUUUUGAUAUGGCUCAACCUGCUUGGGAAAAGAUUGCCAUUUACAGAGGUGGCAUUGUCCCUGUAAUCUAUCAAAGGUAGAAUAAACCUCUUUGCUUGGAUUAAGGUUCUUGCUUGAACAAUAACAAUACUAAAGAUGAGUCUUAACUUCUAAACAUGGACAUUCAAAUUACAUAUACAUGUAACCCAAAGGUAGAAUAAACCUCUCAUUUAAUAAUAGUUUUGCUUGGAUUUAAGGUUCUUGCUUGAACAAUAACAAUACUAAAGAUGAGUCUAACUUCUACACAUGGACAUUCAAAUCACAUAUACAUGUAACUGUCCAUAAAAGUGGAAUAGCUAGAAAAUCAGGCACGUUCCAGCUCCAAAUAAAAAAACUUUCUACUGUCUGUAUAUAUGAGUUAAAUCCUACUAAAAAUAUGUGCACCUGCUCUUUCAAUAACUCAAAUAAGUAACUUAUGAGCUCUACUACGGACAAGAUUCUUGGCAGUUAACACAAAAUUAUUAAGGGAAGUAACUGAAUUUGACGAAGUGGGUGUUUCUUGUUUUGUGGAGCAGGGUUCCUUGCAAGAAGCAUGGUGGAGUUAGAUUCACAAUCAAUGGAAGGGAUUAUUUUGAGCUAGUCUUGGUAAGCAAUGUAGGAGGAGCUGGAUCCGUUCGAUCUGUUCAAAUCAAAGGCUCAAAAACAAACUGGAUGACAAUGUCUAACAACUGGGGAGCCAAUUUUCAAUCCACUGCUUAUCUCAAUGGACAAUCACUGUCCUUCAGGGUCACUGCAACAGAUGGUGUCACAAAAACAUUCCUAAACAUCGUUCCAGCCAAUUGGCGAUUUGGGCAGACAUUCUCAAGCCCCACUCAGUUCUCAUAAAGCAAAAGCUCAAGGGAAAGAAUUUUAGAGUUCUUGUGUUCAUAGGCAGUGGCGUGCUUAGAUAUUUUACCAAAAGCAGCCAUGUUUUUUUUUUGUUUUUUUGUUUUCAGCAAUACUACUGGCAUAAGAAGAAAAGAUGGAAAUGUAUACUUCCAAUUAUUAACAUAGCCUUGUCCACAGAAGAAUAAGGAGACUGUUUCUCUUUGUGGGUCUUUCGUUUUUCUUAUGUAUAGUUUUCUUUAUUUAUCUGGCGUAAAAAUAAUAUGUGCCCUCAAAUUGGAUCUCAUAUGAUGAAAAGAUGGAAGGAAAUCCAAUCAAGAUGAAGCAAUUUGUGCUACGUACAACCAGUAAACAACAACAACAACAACAACCCAAUAUAAUCCCACUUAGUGGGGUCUGGGGAGGGUAGUAUNNNNNNNNNNNNNNNNNNNNNNNNNNNNNNNNNNNNNNNNNNNNNNNNNNNNNNNNNNNNNNNNNNNNNNNNNNNNNNNNNNNNNNNNNNNNNNNNNNNNNNNNNNNNNNNNNNNNNNNNNNNNNNNNNNNNNNNNNNNNNNNNNNNNNNNNNNNCCAAGAACUUCCCACCUUGCUCUUGGGGAGACUCGAACUCACAACCUUUCGGUUGGAAGUGGAGGUUGCUUACCAUCAGAGCAACCCCUCUUGUCUCGCUACGUACAACCAGUAAUGUAUCAAAAUAAAAGUAGCAUGCAAUAAUCUAAAGAAAUCUACACUGAAGAACCUAUAUGAUGUGCUAAACUAAAGAUAAUUACCAUGGUAUGUUUUAAUGGGUGAUAUUGGCAAAAGAAAGAGUUUGCAUAGUUGGGUGAUAUCUUUAAUGCAACAGCACCAGGUGUUGGAUCAAUGUACGGCAAGCAAGAGCAAUGGAGUAAGAAUCACAUUUAAAAUUAAACAUUGACAGAAUAGUAGCGCAGACAUUAAAUUCAGGAAAUGGCAUAUAAUCAGUACAUAUUAAUCCUAAAUUCCGAAAUUCAACAUCAAUUUAACCAUUCCUGCUUAACCACAUUACCAAUUGAAAUAACUCAGACACUCAAAAUUCUUAAAAUAAAAUAAGCAACGGAUAACAAAAACAAGCUUAAAUUUUUGUGACUUGAAGUUAGGGUUUCGGCGAGAACUACAAACAGGGACCUAUGUUCGAGUCAAAACAAACAAGGUAAACACAAUUGAAGCCUCAAUCGUUCAAUCCUAUGGUCUCAAUAGCCAAUUUGAGAUUCUAAGCUCAUAAAUCCAAUUAAAAAUGCUGAAAAUGCAUCUAACUAAAACAUCAAAAAGCAAAAAAUCAACAAAAUCAAAUCAAAUUCCAUCAGCGAGACACAUAGAACACAUACCAACACCUUACUUAAGCAUAAUAAAAGCAGAAGGGAAACCAGACUGCUAUUACAGGAAUUAGUUAAGCGGGGAAGGCAAAAACAUACUUCGAUGUAGCAGAGCUGUAGAAGAAGGCAAUUAAAAUCUGUCGCAGAUGAGGUAGAUUCACAGUUACGAAAAUCGUCUGCGCAGGCGUGUCCUUAAAAGUCCGGAAAUCCGUACUAAAUAAAAA